rnacentral:rRNA from 1 species
AGAGUGAACGCUGGCGGUAGGCCUAACACAUGCAAGUCGAACGGCAGCACGGUAAGAGCUUGCUCUUAUGGGUGGCGAGUGGCGGACGGGUGAGGAAUACAUCGGAAUCUACCUUUUGGUGGGGGAUAACGUAGGGAAACUUACGCUAAUACCGCAUACGCCCUUCGGGGGAAAGCCGGGACCAGCAAUGGCCUGGCGCUGAUAGAUGAGCCGAUGUCGGAUUAGCUAGUUGGUGAGGUAAUGGCUCACCAAGGCGACGAUCCGUAGCUGGUCUGAGAGGAUGAUCAGCCACACUGGAACUGAGACACGGUCCAGACUCCUACGGGAGGCAGCAGUGGGGAAUAUUGGACAAUGGGCGCAAGCCUGAUCCAGCCAUACCGCGUGGUGAAGAAGGCCUUGGUGUAAGCCUUUGUUGGUAAGAAAGACAUCGGUUAAUACCGGUGUUCGUGUACGUACCGAAACGAAUAAAGACAACCGGACUAACUACGUGUCCACGCAGCCGCCGGUAA